rnacentral:rRNA from 1 species
AUUGAACGCUGGCGGCAGGCCUAACACAUGCAAGUCGAACGAGUGGCGGCCGUGUGAGUAAUGUCUUGGAAACUGCCUGAUCGAGGGGGAUAAAUCCUGUAAACCGUAGCUACUACCGCAUACCAUCAUAUGUUCCCAGAUGGGAUUAGCUAGUUGGUGGGGGAAAGGCGUACCAAGGCGACGAUCCCGAACUGGUCUGAGAGGCUGAGCAGACAAACUGGAACGGAGAGACGGUCCAGACUCCUACGGGAGGCAGCAGUGGGGAAUAUUGGACAAUGGGCGAAAGCCUGAUCCAGCCAUGCCGCGUGUGUGAAGAAGGUCUUCGGAUUGUAAAGCACUGUCAGUUGGGAGGCGGUACCAACAGAAUAAGCAACGGCUAACUCCGUGCCAGCAGCCGCGGUAAUAC